GAUGAACGCUGGCGGCGUGCUUAACACAUGCAAGUCGAGCGAAGCAGUUAAGUUGAUUUCUUCGGAUUGAUUCUUAAUUGACUGAGCGGCGGACGGGUGAGUAACGCGUGGGUGACCUGCCCCAUACCGGGGGAUAACAGCUGGAAACGGCUGCUAAUACCGCAUAAGCGCACAGAGCUGCAUGGCUCAGUGUGAAAAACUCCGGUGGUAUGGGAUGGGCCCGCGUCUGAUUAGGCAGUUGGCGGGGUAACGGCCCACCAAACCGACGAUCAGUAGCCGGCCUGAGAGGGCGACCGGCCACAUUGGGACUGAGACACGGCCCAAACUCCUACGGGAGGCAGCAGUGGGGAAUAUUGCACAAUGGGGGAAACCCUGAUGCAGCGACGCCGCGUGAGCGAAGAAGUAUUUCGGUAUGUAAAGCUCUAUCAGCAGGGAAGAUA
rnacentral:rRNA from 1 species